rnacentral:rRNA from 1 species
UACGGGGGGGGCAAGCGUUGUUCGGAAUUACUGGGCGUAAAGGGCUCGUAGGUGGCCAACUAAGUCGGACGUGAAAUCCCUCGGCUUAACCGGGGAACUGCAUCCGAUACUGGAUGGCUUGAGUUCGGGAGAGGGAUGCGGAAUUCCAGGUGUAGCGGUGAAAUGCGUAGAUAUUGGGAAGAACACCGGUGGCGAAGGCGGCGCUCUGGACCGAGACUGACGCUGAGGCGCGAAAGCGUGGGGAGCAAACAGG